GCGCUAGUGGUGUAAAGCGUAGCCUCGCUACCCGGAAAGCAGAACGUGCGGGUUCGAGUCCCGCCUGGCGCA
rfam:Heligmosomoides polygyrus genome assembly, scaffold: HPBE_scaffold0010732